GAGGGUAUAGCUCAAGUGGUAGAGCAAAUGCUUAGGAUGCAUGAGGUCCUGGGUUCAAGCCCCACUACCUCUU
rnacentral:tRNA from 1 species